UAAUACCCUUAUUGAUGGGUUCUGCAAGAAUGACAAAAUUGAAGAAGCAGAGGAAAUCUUUGAUCAGAUGGAACUCCAUGGUGUUUCAAGAAAUGUAAGAACCUACAACACCCUUAUCAAUGGCC
rnacentral:miRNA from 1 species